GCCUGCUUAGCUCAGUGGUAGAGUGUUGGUCUCGUAUGUACAAAUAGAUAACCAAAGGCCGAGAGUUCAAUCCUCUCAGGAGGCA
rnacentral:tRNA from 1 species